rnacentral:lncRNA from 1 species
CCCCCUUGGAGGGGGGACAACACCAGCAUGGGGGGGUGAGGUCUCCUCCCUCGUUUUUUUGGGAAGCAGCAGUUCCAACCCACCCUGGGGAUGUCCCCUCAGCAGAGCCCAGCGAGGGACCGGGGAUGUCCCCUCAGCAGAGCCCAGCGAGUGUCCCUGACCCCACUGCCACAGUGUCCCCGUUCCCGCAAUGUCCUCACUGCCACAGUGUCCCUGUGUCCCCACCGUGUCCCUGUCCCCACAGUAUCCCCAUGCCGCGGUGUCCCUGCUGUUGCAGUGUCCCUGUGCCCACAGUGUCCCCAUGCCACGGUGUCCCUGACCCCACAAUGUCCUCGUGCCCACAGUGUCCCCAUGCCGCGGUGUCCCUGUGCCCACAGUGUCCCUGUACCCACAGUGUCCCUGUCCCCACAGUAUCCCUGUCCCCGCAGUGUCCCCGUUCCCACAGUGUCCCUGUGCCCACAGUGUCCCCGUUCCCACAGUGUCCCUGUACCCACAGUGUCCCCAUGGCGCAGUGUCCCUGUACCCACAGUGUCCCUGUGCCCGCAGUGUCCCCGUUCCCACAGUGUCCCUGCUGUCGCGGUGUCCCUGUCCCCACAGUGUCCCCGUUCCCACAGUGUCCCCACUGCCACGGUGUCCCUGCUGUCAGUGUCCCCAUGCCGCAGUGUCCCUGUCCCCGCAGUGUCCCUGUUCCCAUAGUGUCCCUGUUCCCACAGGUGUCACUGUGCCCACGGUGUCCCCAUGCCACAGUGUCCCUAUUCCCACAAUGUCCCCACUGCCACAGUGUCCCCGUUCCCACAGUGUCCCUGUGCCCACAGUGUCCCUGCUGUCGCGGUGUCCCUGCUGUCGCGGUGUCCCCGUUCCCAUGGCGCCGGUAUCCGGGAGAAGCCGCUUUCGUGCCGCCGCUGGGCAUAAAGCCCCUCCCCCUGUGCUUGGCCCGGACAGUGGCGGGGACAGGGGACAGCACACGGUGACAGGGGACAGCACACGGGGACAGGGGACAGCACACGGUGACAGGGGACAGCACACGGUGACACGUCCCCAGGGCCGAGCGCUGCUCCACUCCUUCAUCCUCCUCAGCCGGUCUCCAUCGGCCAGCAAAGAACCGGGGGUGGGGGACCCACCGUGUCCGCUGUCCCCGCUCAGGGUGGCGGUGAUGUCGCUCCUGUGAUGUCCCUGUCCCCCUCUCCCGCUGCCGUUUGUGCUCCGCGUCCGUGCGGCAGCGCCGGUUCGGGGGCUCCCGGCGGGGCCAUCGGGGUGCGGGGCGGCAUCGGGGUCCCCCCGGUCCCCCACUGUGCCCCCCGCAGCCCUCGCUUGGGACCCCCCGGCAGCCCCCCGGGCCCCGGAGCGGCCCCGCCGGGGGGUGCCCGGUCCUGGGGGGUGUCCGGUCCCGAGGGGGUGCCCGGCUCUGGGGGGGUGCCCGGU